rnacentral:rRNA from 1 species
CAUGUAGGCGGCAUGACAAGUCUGGCGUGAAAUAUCUCGGCUCAACCGAGAAAACGCACUGGAAACUGUCAAGCUUGAGUAUCGGAGGGGAAGCUAGAAUUCCUGGUGUAGGGGUGAAAUCUGUAGAUAUCAGGAAGAAUACCGGUGGCGAAGGCGAGCUUCUGGCCAGAUACUGACGCUGAGAUGCGAAAGCGUGGGGAGCGAACAGGAUUAGAUACCCUGGUAGUCC